CGCCACGCUCCUUCUGCGCAUGUGCAGCCGUAGCCUCCUCGUUCGUCUUCUCAGGACUCCAGAGAACCGUUGGGGAACUUUGGGGUGUGCUCGGAAAAUGCAGGAGCUUCAGAGCAGAGACAAGAGCCCAGAAAGGAGCAGAUGCUAGAUUUGCAAGAUCAGAAGCAGGUCUUGAUCCUCCUGCCCAGAAUGAACCAGACUUGAUGAUGAUGCCACCUUCAGGAGCCACCACACUGUGUGACAGUGGGGCAUUUGGGCCGUCCCUGGGAAGUACAGAUGCGCUGCUGUCACACAUGUCCACCACCACAUGUGACAUUAGUGACGUUAUCCUGACGUCACAGGAUCCAAGAAUGAUGAUCUGUGAAGAGUUUUCCGAGGUCACCUACUUCUAACUCUUUUGAAAGAUUUAAAGACAUUGGGCCUGAAAAUUUCAGUGUCUUGUCCAGGGAAACGCAGUUUGUGACAGUUCACUCUCUCACAGCUGAACCACAGUCCUCUGUACUCGCCCAGGAGCCACAGAAAGUGAACAUCCCUCAGGGAGGAGAGUCUAAGGGAAGAGCUCACUCCGCCGUGAUGCUGAUGUCAUGCCUGGUCAUUCUAUUUUUAAGUUUUUGAGGAAUCUCUGUACUGUUUUCCACAGUGGCUGCACCAAUUUACAUUCCCACCAGCAGUGUAUGAGGGCUCCCUUUUCUCCACAUCAUCUCCAACACUUCUGUUUUCUUUGUAAAGAUUGGCACCUGAGCUAACAUCUGUUGUCUAUCUUUUUUUCCUUCUUGUUCUCCCCAAACCCUCCCAGUACAUAGUUGUAUAUUCUAGUUGUAUGUCCUUCUGGCUUGGUGCCGUGUCCAGGCCCAGGAUCCAAACCGGCAAAACCCUGGGCUGCUGAAGUAGCGCACACGAAC
rnacentral:lncRNA from 1 species